AUUUAUCUUCCCUUCAUUCAGGGUUGUUGCCGUUGUCUUGUCUGAGAACUUGUGAGCUGCUGCUGUUUCUUCUGACCUACCAAAUGAUGUUCAGUCCAGAUGAGAAACAGAAGAACAUGGAGGUUUUGCAAUUUGAGCUGAGCCGUGUAGGAGCUCCUUGGCAGAAGAGGCGGCCUCCCGAGGGGUGAGUAAUGUCUUUUUGACAAUCCCAUUAGACUGCUGUUUGUAUUCUUACAUACCCAGAUGCAAGCCCAAAAUCAAGCCCAAAGCAUCUUGCACUCUUUGAACCUGACUCUUUGGGGCUGAUGGCAGGAUUUCCCUUCUGUCUUUCCCAGUCCCUGUCACAAUUCCCAGAGACAAGAUCUGCAAAGCACUUCCACUCUGUGUCAAUUUGAAGGAUCCAGUCUUAUUCAUGCAAGCAAUAUAAACAUUGUUUUAGCUUGACAAAUAUACAGGAAAUUCAGAACAGCAUCAACCAUUGUGUGCAGUGUCCUGCAGAAUAACUUUGUCCAGUAUCACGGAGUGCAUUCACAACUGUGUUUUAACCAGUGCGACC
rnacentral:lncRNA from 14 species